rnacentral:rRNA from 1 species
AGUGAACGCUGGCGGUAGGCCUAACACAUGCAAGUCGAACGGCAGCACAGUAAGAGCUUGCUCUUACGGGUGGCGAGUGGCGGACGGGUGAGGAAUACAUCGGAAUCUACUUUUUCGUGGGGGAUAACGUAGGGAAACUUACGCUAAUACCGCAUACGACCUACGGGUGAAAGCAGGGGAUCUUCGGACCUUGCGCGAUUGAAUGAGCCGAUGUCGGAUUAGCUAGUUGGCGGGGUAAAGGCCCACCAAGGCGACGAUCCGUAGCUGGUCUGAGAGGAUGAUCAGCCACACUGGAACUGAGGCACGGUCCAGACUCCUACGGGAGGCAGCAGUGGGGAAUAUUGGACAAUGGGCGCAAGCCUGAUCCAGCCAUACCGCGUGGGUGAAGAAGGCCUUCGGGUUGUAAAGCCCUUUUGUUGGGAAAGAAAAGCAGCAGGUUAAUACCCCGCUGUCCUGACGGUACCCAAAGAAUAAGCACCGGCUAACUUCGUG